ACACUUACCUGGCAGAAGAGACACCAUGAUCACGAAGGCGGCUUCCCCCUGCAUUAGUGAUUGUCCAUUGCGAUUUCCCAAAUGUAGGGGACGUGGUGUAUACUGUGCGGUAGCGGGGGGGGGGGGGGCUACGUCUGUGUUUGCCCUUU
rnacentral:snRNA from 1 species